rnacentral:rRNA from 1 species
AACGAACGCUGGCGGCGUGCUUAACACAUGCAAGUCGAACGCGAAAGGGGCUUCGGUCCUGAGUAGAGUGGCGCACGGGUGAGUAACGCGUAGAUAACCUGUCCUGGUGUCUGGAAUAAUAUCUCGAAAGGGGUGCUAAUACCGGAUAUUCUUGCUUUCUAUAAGGUAUGCAAGGAAAGGUGGCCUCUGGAACAAGCUACUGCACGAGGAGGGGUCUGCGUACCAUUAGCUAGUAGGUGGGGUAAUGGCCUAUCUAGGCGACGAUGGUUAGCGGGUCUGAGAGGAUGAUCCGCCACACUGGUACUGAAACACGGACCAGACUCCUACGGGAGGCAGCAGUGAGGAAUAUUGCGCAAUGGGGGCAACCCUGACGCAGCGACGCCGCGUGAGUGAGGAAGGCCUUCGGGUCGUAAAGCUCUGUCAAAGGGGAAGAAGUGCAUGGUGGUUAAUAUCUGUCAUGUUUGACGGUACCCUUAAAGGAAGCACCGGCUAACUCCGUGCCAGCAGCCGCAGUAA